rnacentral:tRNA from 1 species
UAGGUCAAAGCCCGCUGGAUUGGGCGGCUGGUUGUUAACUAGUAUUWUGCGGGAUCGAGGCCCGUUGGCUUAG